GCAUGGAAUUUAUUUUCAAAAAGUAUGCUUUUAAAAAACAAAUAUGGUCUUGCAUAGUGUCCCAUGCCAGAGCAAACUAUGGCCCUGAACCACUGCCUGGCCUCUGCCUGUAGACUGCUGACACUGAAGCAGGUUGCACAGUG
rnacentral:snoRNA from 1 species